GAUGAACGCUGGCGGUGUGCCUAAUACAUGCAAGUCGAGCGAACAGACGAGGAGCUUACUCCUCUGACGUUAGCGGCGGACGGGUGAGUAACACGUGGAUAACCUACCUAUAAGACUGGGAUAACUUCGGGAAACCGGAGCUAAUACCGGAUAACAUGUUGAACCGCAUGGUUCAACAGUGAAAGACGGUCUUGCUGUCACUUAUAGAUGGAUCCGCGUCGCAUUAGCUAGUUGGUAAGGUAACGGCUUACCAAGGCAACGAUGCGUAGCCGACCUGAGAGGGUGAUCGGCCACACUGGAACUGAGACACGGUCCAGACUCCUACGGGAGGCAGCAGUAGGGAAUCUUCCGCAAUGGGCGAAAGCCCGACGGAGCAACGCCGCGUGAGUGAAGAAGGUCUUCGGAUCGUAAAACUCUGUUAUUAGGGAAGAACAAAUGUGUAAGUAACUAUGCACGUCUUGACGGUACCUAAUCAGAAAGCCACGGCUAACUACGUG
rnacentral:rRNA from 1 species